rnacentral:misc_RNA from 1 species
GAAAUGCGAUAAGUAGUGUGAAUUGCAGAAUUCAGUGAAUCAUCGAAUCUUUGAACGCACAUUGCGCCCUUUGGUAUUCCUUAGGGCAUGCCUGUUCGAGCGUCAUCUAAACCUUCAAGCCCUGCUUGGUGUUGGGUGCCUGUCCCGCCUCCGCGCGCGGACUCACCUCAAAUCCAUUGGCGGCCCCCGCGUCGGCCACAAGCGCAGCAGAAACGCGAACUCGUGAGCCCGUCCGGGCGGCUCCCAGAAGCUACACCCACCCAGUUUGACCUCGGAUCAGGUAGGGAUACCCGCUGAACUUAAGC